UGUUAUCCUCCAAUAUGAAUACCGCAGCAGUUCUGCAUUUGCUUAAUAUUUGCUUAAAAUCAUUAUCUAUUUCAGUCUUCCAAUCGAGAAUAUCGAAGAGGCAUCACAAUAUAAGUAUAUCAGGUUUAUACAGUGUUUAUUCUUAUGCCUCUGGUUGUUGUGUAGGAUAUUGGUAAAGGUACUACGGUACAGAAAGAAGCGAGUGUGUUUGCCUCAAGAUGUCUAACUAAAAGAGAACAGAAUCUGCAAUUAUUGAGAUGUUGCCGUGCCUUCGCCAAGACUCGAACCCUGGCAUCCAAUAUCGAAUACGCAUCCAGUAUGCUUCCAGUUACACCACGAAGGCAUGCCGAAAGAAGGUAGAAAAUUAUCUUAAAACGUUUUCCUUUCAAAGGUCAGUCUGGGGACUAAGAGAAUCAAUCGCCAAAUCUUAGUGGUGACGAACUCGGUCACCACUAGGUUACUCGAAAUUUGUUUGCUUUAAAUGAAAAUGCAUUUAAUAUGUGAUUUAUCUAAUUAAAAGCAAUGAAUAUUUUUAUAGAAUUGGUGGCAUAGCAGAGAGCUUUAAGUAAGCUAUGAAUAAUGAAAUUUGAUAAUUUGUUAAUUGUUUAUUAUUGUUUUGGUUUUUAGACUUGAGAAUUUAUGAAAAAUGAA